ACGGCUGUGGUCUAGCGGUAUGAUCGGAGCUUCCCAAGCUCUUGGUUCGGGUUCGACAACAACUACAGCAUUGAUAUGCUGAGUGACGAAACUCCCGGCAGCCGUA
rnacentral:tRNA from 1 species